rnacentral:rRNA from 1 species
GACGAACGCUGGCGGCGUGCUUAACACAUGCAAGUCGAACGGAGUGGCGAACGGGUGAGUAACACGUGGGUGACCUGCCCUGCACUUCGGGAUACGCCGGGGAAACGGGGGCUAAUACCGGAUAGUGUGGGAUAGGCGCGUGGCCUAUCAGCUUGGUGGGGGGGUAAUGGCCUACCAAGGCGGGUACCGGUACCCGGCCGGGGAGGGUGGACGGCCACAUUGGGACUGAGCGACGGACCAGGCUCAUACGCGACGCAGCGGGGGAGAGUAUUGCACAACGGGAGGAAGCGUGAUGUGGCGCCGCCGCGGGGGGGAUGCCGUCAUUGGGGUUGUGAACUCCUGUCAACUUCUACGCGGUAGCAUAAGAAGAAGCACCGGCUAACUACGUGCCAGCAGCCGCGGUAAUAC